GAAUUGAUUGAAGUGGUGAUGGGGACCGACAUGUGUCCUAAUAAUCGUUGGCAAUUCUUUGCUUGGUGCAACAAGUUCCUUCCUAAUGGGGAUAGAUUCUAUAUAGUCGGGUUGGCCGCGGUCACCUGGGCUAUUCGGCUAGCUCGAAACCGAGCUACAUUUGAGCAUAAGAAGGUUAAAACUCCAUUUGAGAUUGUUUUUCCCACUUGUUCUUUUCUCUUGUAGUGGGCAGGUCUUCAGAAGGAGAGCGACACGGCGAUCUUGCCCGGAGGCACGGAGCGGCUGCAUAGCAACAUGAUGAACUUGAUGAAGAUUCGCGCGGCUGCUAAGAGCUCGAUCGAUGGACGGUAG
rnacentral:rRNA from 1 species